GAGUAAAACAAGAAGGUUGGUCGGAUGGGUAAAAAAAAAAAUGUUGGUCGGAUAUAGUAACGCAAAAAGUCCCCAAAGACGGUCAGUUGGAUAGAGCAAAAAAAGUCCCCAAAGAAUGUCGGUCGGAUAGAGCAAAAAAAGUCCCCAAAGAAUGUCGGUCGGAUAGACUAAAACGAAAAGUCCACGAAGAAGUUCGGUCGGAUAGACUUAAACGAAAAGUCCCCAAAGAAGGUUGGUCGGAUGGGUAAAAAAAAAAAGGUUGGUUGGAUAGACUAAAACGAAAAGUCCCCAAAGAAGGUUGGUCGGAUAGAGUAAAACGAAAACUCCCCAAAGAAGGUCGGUCGGAUAGAGUAAAACAAAAACUCCCCAAAGAAGGUCGGUCGGAUAGAGUAAAACAAGAAGGUUGGUCAGAUAGGUAAAAAAAAAAAAGGUUGGUCGGAUAUAGUAAGGCAAAAAGUACCCAAAGAAGGUCGGUCGGAUAGACUAAAACAAAAAGUCCCCAAAGAAGGUUGGUCGGAUAGACUAAAACGAAAAGUCCCUAAAGAAGGUUGGUCGGAUAGAGUAAAACAAAAAGUCCCCAAAGAAGGUUGGUCGGAUAGACUAAAACGAAAAGUCUCCAAAGAAGGUUGGUCGGAUGGGUAAAAAAAAAAUGGUUGGUUGGAUAGACUAAAACGAAAAGUCCCCAAAGAAGGUUGGGCGGAUAGAGUAAAACAAAAAGUCCCCAAAGAAGGUUGGUCGGAUAGAGUAAAACAAAAACUCCCCAAAGAAGGUCGGUCGGAUAGAGUAAAACAAGAAGGUUGGUCAGAUGGGUAAAAAAAAAAAAGGUUGGUCGGAUAUAGUAAGGCAAAAAGUACCCAAAGAAGGUCGGUCGGAUAGACUAAAACGAAAAGUCCCCAAAGAAGGUUGGUCGGAUAGACAAAAAUGAAAAGUCCCCAAAGAAGGUUGGUUGGAUAGACAAAAAUGAAAAGUCCCCAAAGAAGGUUGGUCGGAUAGAGUAAAACAAGAAGGUUGGUCGAAUGGGUAAAAAAAAAAAUGUUGGUCGGAUAUAGUAAAGCAAAAAGUCCCCAAAGAAGGUCGGUUGGAUAGAGCAAAAAAAAGUCCCCAAAGAAGGUCGGUCAGAUAGACAAACAAAAAGAAGGUUGGUUGGAUAGAGUAAAACAAAAAGUCCCCAAAGAAGGACGGUUGGAUAGAGCAAAAAAAAAAGUCCCCAAAGAAGGUUGGUCGGAUAGACAAACAAAAAGAAGGUUGGUCGGAUAGAGUAAAACAAAAAGUCCCCAAAGGACGGUCGGUUGGAUAGAGCAAAAAAAAGUCCCCAAAGAAGGUCGGUCGGAUAAAGUAAAACAAGAAGGUUGGUCAGAUGGGAAAAAAAAAAAAAAGUUGGUCUGAUAUAGUAAGGCAAAAAGUACCCAAAGAAGGUCGGUCGGAUAGAGUAAAACAAGAAAGUUGGUCAGAUGGGUAAAAAAAAAAAAAAAAAGGUUGGUCGGAUAUAGUAAGGCAAAAAGUACCCAAAGAAGGUUGGUCGGAUAGAGUAAAACAAAAAGUCCCCAAAGAAAAUCGGUUAGAUAGAGCAAAAAAAAAAAAAAAA